GGAGAGCAGUCUCCACCAAUGGGCAGUGAAGAAGAGUUGAUUGGCAACCUCUGGGCAGGGCCAGGACUGCCUGAGGCAACCCCCAGGGGUAUAAAAGGCAGGGCAGCCUUUUUGUGGGUUUAAUAAACCUUUGAAAUUUUAAAAGAAGGAGGUCGUUUCUCAUACGGGCCUUCCAGUUUUUCAGCCCUGGCAUUAGUGCAGCUGUGAGGAAGAUGGACAUGGAGGUGUACUGCAAUUCUUCCACCAGAUAAUAAGCCACUGACAGAUAAUCAGUCAGGUCUGGACCUGCCAACUGUCUGAAGCUCUGUAUGCAAAGUGUUCUGCAGAUACCACCUGGUGUUUACUUGACGGUACAACCUGAAGCUAUUGCAUCACCUGUGAAGUGGGGAGCAUUUGGCACAGGACCAACAUAUUGCAAGUAAUUGGGUGGAUGUUUUAGCCGGCAUUAGCCAUGACAUCAGGAGGGCAGAAGAGUGCCCUCCUGUUCAUGAAAGGACUUGUUAACUUGAUGUCGAUGGCUGCUUGCUCUCUUAUCAGGCUCCACAGGAUCAAGGACUCCCUGCUAUUCGCUAUAGAAGCCUCACUGUUGUGUCAAAGUCCUUUGCAUGGGGUCUGAAUGCUUUCAUUAACAUUUCAAGCCAGCAUUGUUACAUUGGUUCAGAAGAUGGAAUGGUAAAAUAAAAAACACUGAAAUGUUUAAAUUCCUACAUUUUUAUUUGCAAGAAGAGUCACAAGGGAUCAAGACACACACUGUAGCUCCUGAACAGGCAACAGAUAGAUGCCAUAACCAGAUUCUGCUCACUCUGAAGCUUCAUGUGGAAAUGCUGCAUCCUUCUUCAUGCAAAAGAGCCUGGCUUCCUGGAAAGGCCAAAGAGAGCAACAUUAGAGAAAAUACUAACCCUACGAACAUGAGGAUAAUGCCACUUACAAAAGUAACUCCAUUAAUGCAUGAAGGUGUCUGAAAGUUGAGGCUAUAAGACAGCAGUGAAUUUAAUGCCAGAUAUUUAGAGGAGGCAGGGGAGCAGUCUUAAGUAUUUUCUUCACUUGAUAGAACUAUCAGGUAUAAAAAACAGUAACAAAACCAACAAAAACCAAAGAAACAUUCCCCUUCCUCCCCCCACGAAAAAAGCCCCAAAACAACCAAAUCAAGAAAUAAAGGUUAUGUCUCAGUAGUUUUAACCUGGUUCACUUGUAAAGAUAUUGGUGUACUUAAAAAAAAUCUGCAAUGCAAAGAUGAAGUUACAGGAAUAGUGAAUUCACAAAAAAAAAAUACGAAGUUACCUUAUGAAGUUAGUUAAGAUAAUUACAAUUAUGGUUUUGGAACACAUGGGGAAGGGAAGUAAACCAUUCCCUAUAGAUGGCAUAUGUAUUAUGGGAAAAAGUGAUUCCCUCCUCCAGUUUUAAGUAACUACCAGGAAAGGAAGUGUGAAGGUACAAUAUACAAGAAUUUGCAAAAGCAAGUUGCCAGACUUUUUUUUUUCCUGUAAACAGUAUCAAACAUUUUAAAAACAUCACUUUCAUUAUUUUAGAAAAGUAUUUUCUAGCCUAAAAAGCUUCAUAUGUUUUCUCUCUAAUCUGCCUUUAUUUCACUCCUUUUUUGCGCAUGAAAUUCCUCUGCCAUAACCUUACACUGCUGCAUAUACAAAAAUGAAUUAGUUUGACGGGGAGGUUUUGGUGAAAUAUAGUAAUGAAAGUGAAGUAAAUCCUCUGCUUAUCAUCCAAGAAAAAAAUGGUGUAUUCCACUCUCUGAGCUUUAACAUCGUACGCCCUGCAGCAAGUAAUUUACAGACGAUCAGCACCUUGCUACUCUCUCCUCUCAUUUCCCUACUUGAACUCCCUUCAUUAACCCAGCAAUUUGCAAUGGCAUUGGGUGGUGGAUUUAUCAUAGGACCUGCUCCAAAUUGGUCUCUGGCGGCAAUAGAGCCAAAAGGAAAUUGAAUUUCUCGUGUGAAAGUCUCUUUUUCUUUUUCCCUUUUUAGUUUUCUCUUGUCUUAAAAUGUAAUAUCAUUACCAUGACUCAGAUCUGGUUAAUGACUUAGCUAGAUGGUCAAUGUACUAAAAUAUCUACAAUAAAUCAUGUAUUGACU